rnacentral:lncRNA from 1 species
CCAUUCUGAUUUGUCUGUUUUGCUAACAACCAAACUAUAAUAAUGGCAUCCAUGAUUAUACUAUACAUCCGAAUUAUAACCAUCCUUAAUAUUAUUGACGCAAGCUCAAAAUCAUUGUGAAGAUGACUUCACAAUUAGCAUGCCCAUUCUGUUUCAGUUGUGGAUUAAACGAAUAUGACACGUGAUUGGUCACUUCUUCUUGUGUUAUUGGAAGGUGAGAAGUCCCUUUUCCAUAUUUUGGUGCUACCAAGUUGUUGCUUUCUCUAGCGUGUGCAAGAUCGAGAAGGUAAGGAAC